GAUGAACGCUGGCGGCGUGCCUAAUACAUGCAAGUCGAGCGAACGGACGAGAAGCUUGCUUCUCUGAUGUUAGCGGCGGACGGGUGAGUAACACGUGGAUAACCUACCUAUAAGACUGGGAUAACUUCGGGAAACCGGAGCUAAUACCGGAUAAUAUUUUGAACCGCAUGGUUCAAAAGUGAAGGACGGUCUUGCUGCCACUUAUAGAUGGAUCCGCGCUGCAUUAGCUAGUUGGUAAGGUAACGGCUUACCAAGGCAACGAUGCAUAGCCGACCUGAGAGGGUGAUCGGCCACACUGGAACUGAGACACGGUCCAGACUCCUACGGGAGGCAGCAGUAGGGAAUCUUCCGCAAUGGGCGAAAGCCUGACGGAGCAACGCCGCGUGAGUGAUGAAGGUCUUCGGAUCGUAAAACUCUGUUAUUAGGGAAGAACAUAUGUGUAAGUAACUGUGCACAUCUUGACGGUACCUAAUCAGAAAGCCACGGCUAACUACGUG
rnacentral:rRNA from 1 species